rnacentral:misc_RNA from 1 species
AAGUCGUAACAAGGUUUCCGUAGGUGAACCUGCGGAAGGAUCAUUAUCUAUUUUAAUGGUGUUGGUCGCGGCCCCCGGCGGAAAUGUCCCCGGGCGGUAGAGGUAACACUCUUACGCGGCCACAUGCCUUCAUCCUUUUUUUACGAGCACCUUUCGUUCUCCUUCGGUGGGGCAACCUGCCGUUGGAACCUAUCAAAACCUUUUUUUGCAUUUAGCAUUACCUGUUCUGAUACAAACAAUCGUUACAACUUUCAACAAUGGAUCUCUUGGCUCUG